ensembl:lncRNA
AUGAAGCCUGCAUAUCCUUUCCUCCCAUUAUCACACUGGUGCUGCCUCACAGAAACAACAGAAGUAGGCACAGUUGUUGGUUUCUUUCUAGUUCUUAAGGUACGUACAACCCUUUGUCACUGUGCUCGAGCACAAAUAGGCGGCCAGGUCCUCGGAAUGCUGACAGCAUACUGGUCUUCCACCCUGAAAUUCCGCCCGCUGGCAGCCAUGUUGUCCACACGUGCAGCUCUCAGGGCCUACAAAAUGGCGCCUUGUCUGGGGCACACAAAGUGGUGCCCUGGGUACACAGGUGAGCACUACCAUCAUGAGUGCUGCAUUGAUUCUUUCACCACCCCAAAUCCAUAUCUACCAUCUUCUCUGAGACAUGGUAUGGAGUAGUGAUGACAAACAAGCAUGUUCCUGGCACCUGCAGCUUCAUUGGGAAAGAAACAAAUAAUUGGCAAAAUACUGAUGAGACCGUGCCACCACCUCAGCAACUUCAGCAAGGAAUAUGCAGACUGACAACAAGAUGGCAACCGAAGAAGAAGCCCACACUUUGUGUGAGAUAGGCUGGAGGGGACUGAAGCUUCAUUUACAGAAUUAAGGGCCUUCUGGCUUCCCAUUCCCUGCUUCAUGAAGUUCAGUUAAGUUUGGAUCAUAAGAACUACAAAAACUCUGUCUUUCAAAAGAGUUGUUUCCAGGGUGAACAACCAAACUGGCCCUUAAAGGGAAGGAUGAGCACAUCUGCAGCCUGCAGGCUGUUCAGACUUGAGGCCAAAGCAACCUGUUUUCGUAGACUGGCAUUCUGACCUGCACAAAUCCUCAUCUUGUCUGCUAGUACAAGAAGCUAUAAGAUGGGAUUAAAAACCACUCUGCUUUUCCUAAAAAUGUUUGCCUCAUCAUUGUUCUGCUCUUCAAUUCUAGACAUCCAGCGCUGGAAGGCUGGCAGUCUUCAGCUGGGUAUUACUCUUUGUCUUGUGCUUUGGCAAACUUAAUCUGUGUCAUAUUUGAGGCAUGCAUAUGUGUAUUCAAAGAAGUGCGGAAUACAGUCAGUAUCAACUGAGAUUUUGGGUUCUGAGUUUUUCUUAGCGGAUUCAUGUAUACCUUGACAUGCCUCUGAAGUGGUCAGACAGUUGGAUUCAGUCUUUGUAGGUCUUCCAACUGAACUAUUCAUGCCUCUGUGUGCUACAGGGGCAGCAGCACCUACACCAGUUACAGCCUUCUGCUCUCUAUGGUCAACACACAACCAAGCCACACUAUGCCAGACAGCCUAACAGGCAUCUCCCCUGCCAGGAUUACAGGCAUCCAUGCCAUUAGGUUUUCCUCGAGAGAGGUGCUGGCUACUCAUCUUCCCAGGCAUUAUGUGCAGCCCACAAAUCACUUUGUCAGUGAAGCUCUUCUCAACAGAGCUGGUCAGUCACCCAGGCAGAAGCUGGUUGCUUUUUUCAGGUUGGCAAGGACUGGAAGGAGUAUGUUGGUGUCCAAAGGACCAACUGUUUGCCAGCAGUGCCCAGAAAAGCUCACACCCGCUUAUUCCAGACUUUGAAUUUGAUGAUAAAAUUCCUGGCCUGAUGUAUGUGAGGUAUCUGGUGGCCCUCCAUGUAUAAACUGCAAAUCUAAAUGGCAACUAACCUUGAGGAGGCAAUAAAAAAACUUGCUCACAUGUCA